rnacentral:siRNA from 1 species
CCGAACGCUGCAACCAUUUGAUG